AUUGAUUAAGUAAUUAGCAGUCAACAUGGCUUCACCCCAAUAUGACCUGCUCAGACCAGAAUCCUCCAGCAGUGAGUCCUUAAUUGUUUAUAAGACACCAUUCCGCCUCUCAGCUAUACCAUUCUCAGCUGCUGUGUACGUAUUUGUGUGUCUGUGUUUUAUUCCUAACUGCCCCAAUCACUGUUGAAAACUUGCUGACAAGAAUUCUGAACCUCUAUCACUUUGCAGCUGACAUACCUGUUGUUUAUACCUUCUUUCUACAAAGCUUAC